rnacentral:rRNA from 1 species
AGAGUUUGAUCCUGGCUCAGGACGAACGCUGGCGGCGUGCCUUAGACAUGCAAGUCGAGCGAGAACUUCGGUUCUAGCGGCAAACGGCGCAGUAAUACGUAAGCAACGUGCCCCCAAGACUGGGACAGUCCGGGGAAACCCGGUUUAAUACCAGAUGUGGCCGCUCUUCUGCCUGGAAGAGCGAUUAAAGGACUUCGGUCGCUUAGGGAGCGGCUUACGACCUAUCAGGUAGUUGGUGAGGUAACGGCUCACCAAGCCUACGACGGGUAGCGGGUCUGAGAGGAUGAUCCGCGCGAGUGGGACUGAGACACGGCCCACACACCUACGGGUGGCAGCAGUUUGGAAUAUUGCACAAUGGGGGAAACCCUGAUGCAGCGACGCCGCGUGGGGGAUGACGGAUUUCGGUCUGUAAACCCCUUUUGCCAGGAAAGACUUAGGACGGUACCUGGCGAAUAAGCCCCGGCUAACUACGUGCCAGCAGCCGCGGUAAUACGUAGGGGGCGAGCGUUGUCCGGAUUUACUGGGCGUAAAGGGCGCGCAGGCGGCCUGUUAAGUGUGAAGUGAAAUCUCCUGGCUCAACCAGGAAAUUGCUUUGCAUACUGGCAGGCUAGAGAAAGGCAGAGGUAGAUGGAAUUCCCGGUGUAGCGGUGACAUGCGUUGAUAUCGGGAGGAACACCAAUGGCGAAAGCAGUCUACUGGGCCUCUUCUGACGCUCAC